rnacentral:rRNA from 1 species
CUAGGAAUCUGCCUAGUAGUGGGGGAUAACGUCCGGAAACGGGCGCUAAUACCGCAUACGUCCUACGGGAGAAAGUGGGGGAUCUUCGGACCUCACGCUAUUAGAUGAGCCUAGGUCGGAUUAGCUAGUUGGUGAGGUAAUGGCUCACCAAGGCGACGAUCCGUAACUGGUCUGAGAGGAUGAUCAGUCACACUGGAACUGAGACACGGUCCAGACUCCUACGGGAGGCAGCAGUGGGGAAUAUUGGACAAUGGGCGAAAGCCUGAUCCAGCCAUGCCGCGUGUGUGAAGAAGGUCUUCGGAUUGUAAAGCACUUUAAGUUGGGAGGAAGGGCAGUUACCUAAUACGUGAUUGUUUUGACGUUACCGACAGAAUAAGCACCGGCUAACUCUGUGCCAGCAGCCGCGGUAAUACAGAGGGUGCAAGCGUUAAUCGGAAUUACUGGGCGUAAAGCGCGCGUAGGUGGUUUGUUAAGUUGGAUGUGAAAGCCCCGGGCUCAACCUGGGAACUGCAUCCAAAACUGGCAAGCUAGAGUAUGGUAGAGGGUGGUGGGAUUUCCUGUGUAGCGGUGAAAUGCGUAGAUAUAGGAAGGAACACCAGUGGCGAAGGCGACCACCUGGACUGAUACUGACACUGAGGUGCGAAAGCGUGGGGAGCAAACAGGAUUAGAU